rnacentral:lncRNA from 1 species
UUAUGCAUAAAGUGAAAAGAGAGCCAAAACGCUCUUAACUCAAUUAUGAAAUAUUUGAUUACUACUCUUGAUGUCACAAAGAAUAGUUUAUUUAGUAUUUAUAGGCAAAGAAAUCAAUGAUAAGUUACAACACAAUAAUUACAAUUGUAACUUCCACAAUAACUAGACUAAUUAUAGGCAUGUAAUUGUUAUGUAACUUCAAUCUUAACCAACACCACUAAUUGUUUGUGCCAUCAUAUAGUUAUUGAUUCAUUUUUAUAAUAACACUAAGAUAAGACUUAAGCGCAAAUGAGUUACAUUUGACUAUAUGGGCUUAAUUAACUCAAACUAAAAUAAAACAAUGCAAAAUAAUUAAAAUAACUUAACUAAUCCAGUUCAUACACAAGACUUAUUCACCCAUUACCAAUAAGAUUCAAACAACCCCAAAUUAUUUCAAAUCAUUUAAACCCAAUUAAAAUUACGAAUGUGGGCUGUUCAAAAAGCUUAUAUUUGAACUUUUCACAAUUGACCAGCUCAUCAUCUACAUGUUUUUGAGUGAAAACUUGGAGUAACUCUUUAAUCUUUUUUGCCUUUGAUCUCGUUACUGGUCCACUGAAACUUUCCAGAUUUGGAACUUUAUUUGUAUUUACGUCAUUUGAAAUUUACUUCAAGUCACUUUUUGAUACUCUUUGAGUAUUUUGAGUAUUUUUAAACUUAUUUGCAUCACUGCGCAUAGCUGAAAAGAAAGAAAACUGAUUGCGUCUCUGCGUGCGGUGGAAGAAGGAAUUGGGCCGCGCGGCUCUGCGCACGGUGGAGGAAGAAACCAGGUUACCAUUUGUGCGGCUCUGCACGCAGUGGAGGAAGGAUCCAGCUGCCUUCUCCCUUCCUCUGAUCUUUCC